AGGACGAACGCUGGCGGCGUGCUUAACACAUGCAAGUCGAGCGGUGAUCCUCCUUCGGGAGGUGAUCAGCGGCGAACGGGUGAGUAACACGUGGGCAACCUGCCCCUCACACUGGGAUAACCUCGGGAAACCGGGGCUAAUACCGGAUAUGACCUCGAGCGGCAUCUCUUGAGGUGGAAAGCUCCGACGGUGAGGGAUGGGCCCGCGGCCUAUCAGCUUGUUGGUGGGGUAAUGGCCUACCAAGGCAACGACGGGUA
rnacentral:rRNA from 1 species